GAUGAACGCUGGCGGCGUGCCUAAUACAUGCAAGUCGAACGAACGGACGAGAAGCUUGCUUGUCUGAUGUUAGCGGCGGACGGGUGAGUAACACGUGGAUAACCUACCUAUAAGACUGGGAUAACUUCGGGAAACCGGAGCUAAUACCGUAUAAUAUUUUGAACCGCAUGGUUCAAAAGUGAAAGACGGUCUUGCUGUCACUUAUAGAUGGAUCCGCGCUGCAUUAGCUAGUUGGUAAGGUAAUGGCUUACCAAGGCAACGAUGCAUAGCCGACCUGAGAGGGGGAUCGGCCACCCUGGAGCGGAGACACGGUCCAGACUCCUACGGGAGGCAGCAGUAGCGAAUCUGCCGCAGUGGGCGAAAGCCUGACGGAGCAACGGCGCGUGAGUGAUGAAGGUCUUGGGAUCGUAAAACUCUGUUAUGAGGGAAGAACAUAUGUGUAAGUAACUGUGCAGAUCUUGACGGUACCUAAUCAGAAAGCCACGGCUAACUACGUG
rnacentral:rRNA from 1 species